rnacentral:tRNA from 1 species
GCCGAGGUGGUGAAACUGGCAGACACGCCAGCCUUAGAAGCUGGUGAGCGAAAGCUCGUGGGAGUUCAACUCUCCCCCUCGGCA